ACUUGGAAACAGGUGCUAAGUACCGGAUAAGAAAGCAGAUCGCAUGAUCAGCUUUUAAAAAAGGCGGCGUAAGCUGUCGCUAUGGGAUGGCCCCGCGGUGCAUUAGCUAGUUGGUAAGGUAAAGGCUUACCGAAGGCGAUGAUGCAUAGCCCGAGUUGAGAGACUGAUCGGGCCACAUUGGGGACUGGAGACACGGGGCCCAAACUCCUACGGGGGGAGGGGCAGGCAGUAGGGGGAAUCUUCCACAAUGGACGCAAGUCUGAUGGAGCAACGCCGCGUGAGUGAAGAAGGUUUUCGGAUCGUAAAGCUCUGUUGUUGGUGAAGAAAGGAUAGAGGUAGUAACUGGUCCUUUAUUUGACGGUAAUCAACCAGAAAGUCACGGCUAACUACGUGCCAGCAGCCGCGGUAAU
rnacentral:rRNA from 1 species